GCUUGUCUCAAAGAUUAAGCCAUGCAUGUCUAAGUAUAAGCAUUUAUACAGUGAAACUGCGAAUGGCUCAUUAAAUCAGUUAUCGUUUAUUUGAUAGUACCUACUAGAUGGAUAACCUCGGUAAAUCUGACGCUAAUACAUGCAUAAAAUCCCAACCUCUGGAAGGGAUGUAUUUAUUAGAUAAAAAAUCAAUGCCUUCGGGCUCUUUGAUGAUUCAUAAUAACUUGUCGAACCGCAUGGCUUUAGCUGGCGGUGGUUCAUUCAAAUUUCUGCCCUAUCAACUUUCGAUGGUAGGAUAGUGGCCUACCAUGGUUUCAACGGGUAACGGGGAAUAAGGGUUCGAUUCCGGAGAGGCAGCCUGAGAAACGGCUACCACAUCCAAGGAAGGCAGCAGG
rnacentral:rRNA from 1 species